GCUACAUGAUAGCUCCACUGGGAGCCCUGUCCUUUCCAUGCCCUGAGAAAACCAGAUCUAAAGCAGAUUUAAAUGACUCAGCAGUAGGACUCAGGUCUCUGUCUCUGCCUGCUUACUUAGGGAGUGCUCCAGCCUUUGGGGCUGUCUUGCACUGCAGCAUAGGAAGGAAAUCAUCGACGGCUCCAUUCCCUGGCGUUUGAGACUUUUCUUCCCACAGACACAUUCCUGAGGACACCAGUCAUGCGUAAAGAACUCCACUGGGGUCAGAGUUGGAUCCCACUAGGCAGUUUAGGACUUGUAAGCAGAGUAGCACAGACUUGGUGUUCCCAGAGCCUCUCACUCAUGAUUCAUGGCUCUCCACCCCAAGCAUCGGACUUGCUCAACUUCACCACAGAAGAAAACAGACUGUAAGCUUAGAGGGCCAGGGAGGAAACUGGAGGCACGUGUGGGAGGAAAAGAUACUGAUGGACCACCGAAGUUGGCUCAGUUGGAAUACCAGCCAUGUGGCAUGUCUCAUGGGGCAAGAGCUAUGCCACCCAUGGGAGCCCAGAGGAGCACACUGAGGACCAACACCAGGGAGACCUUUCCCAAACACGAGUCUAAAGAAGAUGGCCAAAAAAGGGGUGCAGAUCUAGUAGUUUACAAGUGGUGCCAAGAUAAGGUCAGAUUCUGAGCAUGUUUAAAUCAAGUAAAUGAUAUUUGAGGGUGGUUGUCUUAACUACCUGCGGUUGUCCACUUCACACCUGUAUAGGCCAGAUUGUGUGUGCCAGGCAGAUGGACCAAGCUGGCUUGAAGGACCAGGGCAGGUAUUACAUGCCCCAGACAGGUGUUAUACAGUGCUUAAAGCUCCUCCUUGUGUUUAAAGGAUUAUUUACAAAACAUAUAAAGAACCAAAGACUUUAAUUCCUUUGUGAUGUUGGGAUUAAAAUCUCAACUAACAAUAGUCUAACUGUAUUGGAAAUGGGGAAUUUUAUAUGGA
rnacentral:lncRNA from 13 species